ACGUGUUAAAACGCUCAGGAGUCAGUGGAUAAUGAAUUAAGACAAUUGAGAUAAGGAAUACAGUCACCUCCCCUUCGCUGUAGUUGGAACUUCCAAUCAGAACCCCAGUCAGACCAUUUCCUGACUGUUCAAACAUCCUUUGCAUGUUCAAGAACGGAGAACCACAAGACCAGAACCAAGCCGAUGGGACCCACCAGCUCAGCUCAGCACUGCUACCUGCAGGAGGGACCAGGAAGUCAUCUUGGAUCUGGGGCGGUUAUUUCUCCCAGUGUAUCAUGGGGGAGAAGACAGUCCGUCUGUCCAUCUCACACCUUCAUCAGCCUUGCUGCUUUUCGGGGCCAUCGCUCACUCUCUAACCGGACUUUCCCAACUCGGAUCCAGAGUGAGCCCUGGGUCAUGAGUGGGACACAGACAUCUCCUCCAUCCUUUUCUGGAAGUUUCUCCAUAGGACCCAUCCUCGAUGUGUAGGCACAGCUCUUUCCUGACCACCCCAGCUAAGCAUCUCUGCCUCUCCCUAUCAUUCUUCAUAGGGUCAUCCCAUUCUCUUCGUGGCUUUUUAUAUGACUUUGCCUAAAAGUAGCCUUUUCUGCUUGGUUAGAUUCGGCUUCUCUUGAUAGAGAAUAAGCUUGCUGAGGGGAGAGUCGGCCAGCCACUUUCCUCACAGUGUUCUAGCUCCCAGGGCAGGGACAUGUGGAUUCUCAGAAGUAUCUGUACAGUGAAUGGAUCCCCAUGCCUGCCAGCAGUAAAAUCCUACUGUGAUCUUUAGACAUCGUCUCUGAUCCCCUUUAGCCCCCUGUCCUGCCUUUUACUCUCCUCUGAUUGCACAUGUUAUAUCCUUAAGUUUCAGAGACUCCAGGCAAGCUAGAAAUACCUGUGAAAGGUAUGCUCUGGUGUUUGAGGAGAAAGACAACCAGGCUCCCAGCCCCAGCCCCAGCCCCAAGCCUCUGGGGUGCCUGGGAUCAGGUACUGACCGGCUACAGAAUGGUCAGGAACUUAUUUAUGGGCGGUGUCUUCCCAACACUUAUCCCCAAAUGAUGAUUCAUUUGUCAGCAAUCUGUGUGCUCUUAACAGCUACAUACAUAAAGCACACACACACACACAGAGAGAGAGAGAGAGAGAGAGAGAGAGAGAGAGAGAGAGAGAGAAUGAGGACAUACAGAUUGCACAUAGCUGGGGAGAUCAGGCAUUUUAUGAGUCAGAAUAAGUAUGUGGAGCCUGUAUAGAGGAGACUAAUUCCCCUGGAGUGUGUGUGAAGUGCAGGGUUCUGGCUGGGAUUUGUAGAGAGUGGCUGGAGAGGCUCUGAGUCCUUCUGGAAUAAGCCCGCUUCUGUGUCCUUGGAAGCCUUGGUAGAGGAUAGGGGUGGACCCAAGGCCCCAAAGGGAGAUUACAGGCCCCACACAGGCCUAAAUGUGGUCCAUGGGCAAAGCAGAAGAAAAAUGAAGGCCAAAAUGACAAGAAG
rnacentral:lncRNA from 1 species